AGCAGUGGGGAAUAUUGCGCAAUGGGCGAAAGCCUGACGCAGCCAUGCCGCGUGGAUGAAGAAGGCCCUAGGGUUGUAAAGUCCUUUCGACGGGGAAGAUGAUGACGGUACCCGUAGAAGAAGCUCCGGCUAACUUCGUGCCAGCAGCCGCGGUAAUACGGAGGGGGUUAGCGUUGUUCGGAAUUACUGGGCGUAAAGCGCGCGUAGGCGGACAUUUAAGUCAGAGGUGAAAUCCCAGGGCUCAACCCUGGAACUGCCUUUGAUACUGGGUGUCUUGAGUUCGAGAGAGGUGAGUGGAAUUCCGAGUGUAGAGGUGAAAUUCGUAGAUAUUCGGAGGAACACCAGUGGCGAAGGCGGCUCACUGGCUCGAUACUGACGCUGAGGUGCGAAAGUGUGGGGAGCAAACAGGAUUAGAUACCCUGGUAGUCCACACCGUAAACGAUGAAUGCCAGUCGUCGGGCAGUAUACUGUUCGGUGACACACCUAACGGAUUAAGCAUUCCGCCUGGGGAGUACGGUCGCAAGAUUA
rnacentral:rRNA from 1 species